rnacentral:rRNA from 1 species
UACGGAGGGUGCAAGCGCUGUUCGGAAUUAUUGGGCGUAAAGCGCGCGCAGGCGGUCUGGAAAGUCUAUGGGUGAAAUGCCGGGGCUCAACCCCGCGCAUGCCCAGGAUACUGUCAGACUGGAGACACGUAGAGGCAAGCGGAAUUUCGGGUGUAGCGGUGGAAUGCGUAGAUAUCCGAAAGAACACCGGAGGCGAAGGCGGCUUGCUGGGCGUGAUCUGACGCUGAGGCGCGAAAGCGUGGGGAGCGAACAGG